AGGAAGUGGGUUCAUCAAUGGCCAAUGUUGGCCCACUAAAUACUAAUCCUGCUUUUGCUAAGGAACAUCAGGAUGAACCCAAGCACCAGCCUCGUUUGUCAACUGCUUUUGUCGAUGAGCAAAAUACUGGUGAUGCUGUAGAAAUUGAUUCAUCUGAGGACACCUAAGUACUCUUUUUUUUUUUUUCCUUCUAUCAUUAUUUAAAUCAUUACCCUUCUGUAACAAUAAAAGCAUGUUAUAUUUUUAUCGGCAUCAUUUUGGCAUCAAAAGUAUACGUGGUUAGCCUGUUCUAUUUCUUAGUUUCUGAAAUGUGUUCUUUUUGGUCCUGCAGGAUGAAUCUGACCGACAUGAUGAUAUUUCUGGCUUUAUAUUCAUGUGUAGUAGAAAUACAAAGCAUGCUUGAUACAAAUUCCGUGUUUUUGGGCUUCCUUCGAACAAACAAGAAAGGAUAGAAAAGAUUAAGCCAGGAGCAAAGCUUUUCCUGUUUGAUUUCGAAGCAAAGCUUCUGUAUGGUGUAUAUGAGGCAACAUCCACUGGAAUAAUAAACUUGGAACCACUUGCUUUUGGAGGCAAAUUUCCAGCACAGGUCGUGGACUGGUAAGUAUUCCUCGAUGCCCACUUCUGUGGAGAAUCCAUAAAUGAGAAUGCAGCACGUUCAUCCUCCACCCAUUGUGGAAUCUCAACGAGUCUAUGAACUCCAAAGUUGCUCAGCAUGGAUGGCCUGGAACCACGAGCUUCAUGGAGAGUGCUCUUACCGUUGCAGGACCUAAACG